UACGGAGGGUGCAAGCGUUAUCCGGAUUCACUGGGUUUAAAGGGAGCGCAGGCGGAUUGGUAAGUCAGUGGUGAAAGGCUUGAGCUUAACUCGGGAACUGCCAUUGAUACUAUCAGUCUUGAAUAUUGUUGAGGUUUGCGGAAUGGGUCAUGUAGCGGUGAAAUGCAUAGAUAUGACCCGGAACACCUAUUGCGAAGGCAGCAGGCUAAACAAAGAUUGACGCUGAGGCGCGAAAGCGUGGGGAGCGAACAGG
rnacentral:rRNA from 1 species